rnacentral:rRNA from 1 species
AACAGGAUUAGAUACCCUGGUAGUCCAUGCCGUAAACGAUGUCUACUAGCCGUUGGGGCCUUUGAGGCUUUAGUGGCGCAGCUAACGCGAUAAGUAGACCGCCUGGGGAGUACGGUCGCAAGACUAAAACUCAAAUGAAUUGACGGGGGCCCGCACAAGCGGUGGAGCAUGUGGUUUAAUUCGAUGCAACGCGAAGAACCUCACCUGGUCUUGACAUAGUAAGAACUUUCCAGAGAUGGAUUGGUGCCUUCGGGAACUUACAUACAGGUGCUGCAUGGCUGUCGUCAGCUCGUGUCGCGAGAUGUUGGGUUAAGUCCCGCAACGAGCGCAACCCUUUUCCUUAUUUGCCAGCACUUCGGGUGGGAACUUUAAGGAUACUGCCAGUGACAAACUGGAGGAAGGCGGGGACGACGUCAAGUCAUCAUGGCCCUUACGACCAGGGCUACACACGUGCUACAAUGGUCGGUACAAAGGGUUGCUACCUAGCGAUAGGAUGCUAAUCUCAAAAAGCCGAUCGUAGUCCGGAUUGGAGUCUGCAACUCGACUCCAUGAAGUCGGAAUCGCUAGUAAUCGCGGAUCAGAAUGCCGCGGUGAAUACGCUCCCGGGCCUUGUACACACCGCCCGUCACACCAUGGGAGUUUGUUGCACCAGAAGUAGGUAGUCUAACCGUAAGGAGGACGCUUACCACGGUGUGGCCGAUGACUGGGGUGAAGUCGUAACAAGGUAACC